UGUUGCACCAGAGCGCUGCAGG
rnacentral:misc_RNA from 1 species